rnacentral:rRNA from 1 species
GACGAACGCUGGCGGCGUGCUUAACACAUGCAAGUCGAACGGAAAGGCCCUGCUUUUGUGUGGUUCUCGAGUGGCGAACGGGUGAGUAACACGUGAGUAACCUGCCCUUGUCUGUGGGAUAACUUCAGGAAACUGGGGCUAAUACCGGAUAGGAGCUCCUGCUGCAUGUUGGGGGUUGGAAAGUUUCGGCGGUUGGGGAUGGACUCGCGGCUUAUCAGCUUGUUUGGGGGGUAGUUGCUUACCAAGGCUUUGACGGGUAGCCGGCCUGAGAGGGUGACCGGCCACAAUAGGACUGCGAUACGGCGCAGACUCCUACGGGAGGCAGCGGUGGGGAAUCUUGCACAAUGGGUGGAAGCCUGAUGCAGCAACGCCGCGUGCGGGAUGACGGCCUACGGGUUGUAAACAGAUUUCGCCUGUGACGAAGCGUGAGUGACGGUAAUGGGUAAAGAAGCACCGGCUAACUACGUG